rnacentral:rRNA from 1 species
UACGUAGGUGGCAAGCGUUGUCCGGAUUUACUGGGCGUAAAGAGCGCGCAGGCGGUCGUUUUAAGUCGAAUGUGAAAGCCCCCGGCUCAACUGGGGAGGGUCAUUCGAUACUGAUCGACUUUGAAGGCAGGAGAGAGAAGUGGAAUUCUCGGUGUAGCGGUGAAAUGCGUAGAUAUCGAGAGGAACACCUGCGGCGAAGGCGGGUUGCUGGGCCGACACGUGACGCUGAUGCGCGAAAGCCAGGGGAGCGAACGGGG